GAUGAACGCUAGCUACAGGCUUAACACAUGCAAGUCGAGGGGAAACGGCAUUGAGUGCUUGCACUCUUUGGACGUCGACCGGCGCACGGGUGAGUAACGCGUAUCCAACCUUCCCAUUACUGUGGGAUAACCUGCCGAAAGGCAGACUAAUACCGCAUAGUCUUCGAUGACGGCAUCAGAUUUGAAGUAAAGAUUUAUCGGUAAUGGAUGGGGAUGCGUCUGAUUAGCUUGUUGGCGGGGUAACGGCCCACCAAGGCUACGAUCAGUAGGGGUUCUGAGAGGAAGGUCCCCCACAUUGGAACUGAGACACGGUCCAAACUCCUACGGGAGGCAGCAGCGAGGAAUAUUGGUCAAUGGACGGAAGUCUGAACCAGCCAAGUAGCGUGCAGGAUGACGGCCCUAUGGGUUGUAAACUGCUUUUGUAUGGGGAUAAAGUUAGGGACGUGUCCCUAUUUGCAGGUACCAUACGAAUAAGGACCGGCUAAUUCCGUG
rnacentral:rRNA from 1 species